AUUGAACGCUGGCGGCAGGCCUAACACAUGCAAGUCGAGCGAGCGGCGGACGGGUGAGUAAUGUAUGGGGACUGCCCGAUAGAGGGGGAUAACUACUGGAAACGGUGGCUAAUACCGCAUACUAUCGGAUAACCCAUAUGGGAUUAGCUAGUAGGUGGGGUAAAGGCUCACCUAGGCAACGAUCCCUAGCUGGUCUGAGAGGAUGAUCAGCCACACUGGGACUGAGACACGGCCCAGACUCCUACGGAGGCAGAAGUGGGGAAUAUUGCACAAUGGGCGAAAGCCUGAUGCAGACAUGCCGCGUGUAUGAAGAAGGCCUUAGGGUUGUAAAGUACUUUCAGCGGGGAGGCGUUACCCGCAGAAGAAGCACCGGCUAACUCCGUGCCAGCAGCCGCGGUAAUUC
rnacentral:rRNA from 1 species